GCCGCGGUAGCUCAGUUGGUAGAGCGCCGGCCUGAAGAGCCGGGCGUCGAGAGUUCGAAUCCCUCCUGCGGCA
rnacentral:tRNA from 1 species